UACGAAGGGGGCUAGCGUUGCUCGGAAUCACUGGGCGUAAAGCGCACGUAGGCGGUUUGGUAAGUCGGGUGUGAAAUCUCCAGGCUCAACCUGGAGGGGUCAUUCGAUACUGCCAUGACUCGAGUCCGGUAGGGAAGUGGGGAAUUCCUGGUGGAGCGGUGAAAUGCGCAGAUAUCAGGAGGAACACCGGUGGCGAAGGCGGUUCUCUGGGCAUGAUCUGACGCUGAGGAGCGAAAGUGUGGGGAGCGAACAGG
rnacentral:rRNA from 1 species